rnacentral:rRNA from 1 species
UGGACGACGCUGGCGGCGUGCUUAAAACAUGCAAGUCGAACGGACUUCUCAUGAAGCUUGCGAUUGAGAAGUUAGUGGCGGACGGGUGAGUAACGCGUGGGCAACCUGCCCCUGAGCCCGGGAUAACAGUUCGAAAGGACUGCUAAGACCGGAUAUACUUGGCGGGGGAAGCUAUUUCUCUGUAAGGGAAAGGGAACGCUCGAGGGAGUGGGCCCGCGUCCCAUUAGCUAGUUGGUGAGGUAACGGCCCAACCAAGGCGACGAGUGGGUAGCCGGCCUGAGGAGGGUGAACGGCCACACGUGGGACUGAGACACCGGCCCAGACUCCUACGGGGGGCAGCAGUUGGGAAUCUUCGGCAAUGGGCGCAAGCCUGACCGAGCAACGCCGCGUGAGUGAUGAAGGUUUUCGGAUUGUAAAGCUCUGUCUUCCGGGACGAUAAUGACGGUACCGGAGGAGGAAGCCACGGCUAACUACGUG